AGUGAACGCUGGCGGUAGGCCUAACACAUGCAAGUCGAACGGCAGCACAGUAAGGGCUUGCUCUUACGGGUGGCGAGUGGCGGACGGGUGAGGAAUACAUCGGAAUCUACUUUUUCGUGGGGGAUAACGUAGGGAAACUUACGCUAAUACCGCAUACGACCUACGGGUGAAAGCAGGGGAUCUUCGGACCUUGCGCGAUUGAAUGAGCCGAUGUCGGAUUUGCUAGUUGGCGGGGUAAAGGCCCACCAAGGCGACGAUCCGUAGCUGGUCUGAGAGGAUGAUCAGCCACACUGGAACUGAGACACGGUCCAGACUCCUACGGGAGGCAGCAGUGGGGAAUAUUGGACAAUGGGCGCAAGCCUGAUCCAGCCAUACCGCGUGGGUGAAGAAGGCCUUCGGGUUGUAAAGCCCUUUUGUUGGGAAAGAAAAGCAGCAGGUUAAUACCCCGCUGUUCUGACGGUACCCAAAGAAUAAGCACCGGCUAACUUCGUG
rnacentral:rRNA from 1 species